rnacentral:tRNA from 1 species
GGCAGGAUGGCCGAGUGGUCUAAGGCGCUGUCCUCGAAAGACAGUAUCUUCGGAUACCUGGGUUCAAAUCCCAGUCCUGUCG